CUGACCCACAUGCACUCCUGAAGAGGACUACAUGAAAAUCCACCCUGAAGAUCAACCUAAUGCUGUAUAGCACGUUUUCACAGGCAGACAGUAGUCUGAGAGGCGAGAGUGGUGAAGUGGAGGUCCCACCGCUGCUCUGGGGGGAGAGAGAUUGAUGCUGGUGUCAGUGAUGAAUCUCCCAUUAUGUGUGAAACUGUGGUGUCCUUGAACUCCGGGGUUUGCCAUAUGCUGUAAAGGACAAAGGAUGUGAAGAGAGACGAGUACCUUAAUCAGUGCUGUUUCCUUGGUGUAAAGAAGCUCCUAAAUGACCCUAUCUGGACCUGGGUCAGGGCCCUGUUCUCCAGCACCAGCGCUCAGUGAGUCCACACUGGCUCUGCCAUCACUGUCAGGGCAGGCCAGUCCCUACUGCAGCUCCCUGCCUCCAGACCCAAGCAAGGAAAAGGACACCUCUCACCCCGGAGCUGCUCAUGUGUGGCCAGCAGCGACAUCAGCUAAGGCAUCUGCACCUACCCUGGAGACCCCACUGCUGGCCCCUGUAUGGGGAAAUUGAUGGCUGUGCAUGUGUGAAAGCAGGAGACAUUGACCUCCCACUGCCACUGGCCUGAUGCUCCCCCCUUUGUUCAGAUAACGUGACGGACACCCUCGCUCUCCCCCAACUCUGCAAGGUUACUGCACCUCCACAGUGCAACUGAGUUCAGAGGACAUGCAUCAGAAAUACUCCAGAAAGAUCUGUAACAUUACAGAUUUUUAUUAGCUGUAAUCAAGGCCUGAAAUAAAUGCUAUGAGAAACGGAACAGGCUAGACAAAAGCUACAUCAGCAACACAGAGGAACAUGGUUGGUUCUUUAGUGGGACACAAUAUGGAAAUGUUGAUGUCGUGAUAACCUGAACAUUUAUAAGAACACUGUAAAGUUACUGUUCCUUAAACCAUUUUCAAAGCCCUCUUAAAUCAGAAGGUCUUCAGGGAAAUGAGAAUAGAAUACAAAAAAUGAAUAUAUUGAACAUUACAAAAUAUUUGGUAACACUUAUUACCCCUACUUAUAGCCCCCUGUAGGUGCUUUGUGGUUGUUUAGCUUUUCAUUUAACGUACAUUAAGCUAAAUAUUCAUUAAAUGGAAAGUCCAUCAUAUUUAUAAAAAUGUCCCUAUAAUUUAAUGCUUGAGCUGUAAAUGGUAAAAUAGUGGCAAAUCUGAGGGAAAAAAAGUUUUCUUAGGGGACUAUUGUACCUUACAAUUCCCUACAUGUUUGACUACCAUUAACGGAUUAAAAAAUACUUUUUAGGCCAAAAUCUUUUCUCAAAACUAUUGUAAAACACCAUCUUCAGGCAACAUAUUUGCAACCAUUUCAUGUAAUAACUUUCUAUGAGGGAGCUUUUAGAGGCAAUAAAGUCUUCAGAUGUCUGGUUUCUAUCACCAUCACUGUGAACAAUUCUGACUGAGUAAGUUUCUCUAGAACAGAGCAUUUCACAUCAGACCACUCUGAAUUAGUUUACUUCUAUCUUCAUGAUUUAAUUAUGAAUUAUUUUUAAAUCAGUGGAAAUCACUUUCACCAUUCCUUAACCAUAACCCUGGUCUUAAUUGUAAACCUAAUCCUAAUCUCAACUCAAAAUUUUAACUUAACCCUAAUCCUGGUUCUAACUCUAAUUCUGUUGAGAAUCAACAGUUUCACCAGAUACUUUGUUAAUAAUUUGAAGACUAAUGAUUAUUGUCUACAUUUGUAAUCUGUAGAUUAUUUUUGGCAUCUAUCCAAAUAAAAUAGCAUCAAAUAAUCUAUUCAUACUUAAAAUUUAAGAAUGUAAUGACAACAAAUAACAAUAUAUUAUAUACAAAUGUACUUAAUUAGCCCAGAAAAGCCCAGUUUAAUACAACUUUUAUGGAAAUGUGCUUUGCUUUUAUUUUCCAUAGUCUAAAGCCAAAAGUUUUUUUAUGUCCCUGAUUACUUUUCCCUCUUUUUUGUUUUUCAGGUUAACUGUGCCUGUCUGCAGAUUUGACGUCCACCUUGAGGGCAGAUGUGCCUGGCUGACCUGGCUGUACCUCAUAGGUGGGCUGUUUUCUGGAAGCGCUGUGGUGGACCUAGGAGAGCAGGUGGCUGGAGGUAGAGCUGAGAA